rnacentral:rRNA from 1 species
GGACUACCGGGGUUUCUAAUCCCGUUUGCUCCCCUAGCUUUCGCGCAUCAGCGUCAGAAGAGGUCCAGCGGGUCGCUUUCGCCACCGGCGUUCCUUCCGAUAUCAACGCAUUUCACCGCUCCACCGGAAGUUCCACCCGCCCCUACCUCACUCCAGACAAGCAGUAUCCAAGGCCCUUUUCCGGUUAAGCCGAAAGCUUUCACCCCGGACUUGCCUGCCCGCCUACGCGCCCUUUAAGCCCAGUGAAUCCGAACAACGUUCGCACGGUUCGUCUUACCGCGGCUGCUGGCAC